AUUAUUCCAGACUUAAGACAUGGAGAUAUAUCUUGCUAGAGCCAUUUUGAAGAUCUCAGUUUUACUGAAAGGGGUCUGCCACACAUAACUUCCCUGGUGUACCAGCAACAAGUGUUCAGUGGACCACGGCAACACAAAGAAUGAUGGAGGAGAGAAAAUGCCAUGCAGAAGUGAUAGUCAAGAUGAAGAUGUGGGAGAGGAGCAGCCCCAGCAUAUAUUCAGUGCGUCCUCUGAAGUAACAACCAUCCCAUCUGGCUGAGAAGUGAUGGACACGGCUCCUUAACCACACUGUACCCUCUGUUCUUGGCACCUCUCUAGCAGAAAGAUAUCGACAAAUUGGAUGGAAUUCAGAGAACAGUAAGAAAAAUGAUUAAAGAGAUGGAGGCAGUGACUUCUGAGGAAAGAUGAAAAGGACUAAAUCUGUAUAGCUUGGCAAAGCAACAACUGAGGUGGCGUAUGAAAACUGUCUACAAGCAUUUCAAGAAUAUAAACACCAAGGGAAGAGAGGGAACUUUUUAGAACGGUCUGGGGAAUAAGCAGAGUAAGAGGACAGAAUUGAAGAAAGGAGAGAGAUAUGCUAAGUUGGGGGCGGGGGCGUUUUCUCAUCAAUUGUAAAUUUUGAUACAUAACAAAAUUAAGUCUGGAGAGAAAGAGUUGCAUCUCAUGCUUUUAGGUUACAAUCAGUGUUGACCUGCACUGAGAAAAUGGACUUCCUAUUAUCCUUCUCAAAGUUAUUGCUGCAGAGGAAAGAAGCAUACAUCUUUUACCCACCAGGAAACCCCCAAAGCACCUAUUACCAUAAUAGCCAUGGGAAACAGAGUCACCUCAAAUAAAGGUGGGGAAAAGAAUGAAAGAAAUGGCUUUGGCCUGUGCCUGUUUGACCUCUGAGAGAUACUUUUUGCAAGAAAUUGUUAAGUUUUGGCCCAAAAAGUGGUCGGUCUUUUAUCCUUCCUUGUGGAGGCCAAAAUGCAAACCAGGAUGAAGAAACCAUCAGUGGCAGUUUGGGGAGGUGGAGGAGGGACUAGCUAGACUCAGUGAAUCACCAAGGAAACAUGAGGCCUAUUUCUCUGUGAAGCUGAACUUCAAAAAACAAUCUAAGAGAUACAAAGGGAAAAGUGUGACUGCUCUGACAGCAAAAACAAGCAAAUAUCUCCAGAGGGGAUUAAUCCUUCUGCUUCAAAGUAACCAAAACAAAGAAAGCUGAGCCAGCUUCACUGGAAACAACACCUGUCCAUCAGACAAGGAUGAGCUAAUCAAAAGAAAACACUGCCUAUGUGCACGACUCAGCAGUCUGGACAGCUAAUACCAAGGAACACGUUUUCACUAUAAAGAUUCAGCUUUCAAAAUCCAGUUCCCUCUUGUAGAGCCACAGGGUUAAAAGGGGCCUUAGAGAUCAUCUACAUACAGGCCAAACCCUCAAUGAAUGCCAGUGUUCGCCUUAUGUUCUUCUUGCCGGACUCUUUUCUGGCCUCUGUUCUGUCAGGAUGUUUCCUGUUUUGCAAAACAGCUUUAAUCCUUGAGUAUAUUUAAUUGUUG
rnacentral:lncRNA from 1 species